UAUUUUCCUGUCUGCUUUCGCAGCAGUUGCCCCCCAUGGAUUUCCCAAUGAAUCAGAAGCCGCCUCUGCACAGACCCAUAGUCCACAGCUUGUCCUUCCAUCAAGAAGACUUGUGUACUUCUCUCUUCCUUGAAUCCGGGCUGACCUUGUGAAUUGCAUUAGCAAUGGAAUAGGACAGAGAAAAUAAAAGCGCACAGGAUAGGCGCGUGGUAUUGAUGGAUCUGACUUGCCAGACUGGAAGCCCAAGCAAACCUGCCUGGGUCCUUGCCCGGAGCCUGUCAUCAGUCCCUGGGGCCAUUCCCAUUGGAAGCCAGCCUCCGCUGCCAUGGCAGCCUCUGAGCACCUCCAGGAGCUCCAGCACCUCCUGCUGAAUUGCUCCCGGAGGACCCAAGGCAUGAAGAACACCUGCCCUCAUAGAAAAGCUCAAGGAACUACUGCCAGUCGACUCCAAGCUACAAAGAGCCAUUAGCUAAUAAUGACCCCUGGAAAAGACACCGUCGCUUCGGAAGGCGAUGGGCGGCUAUGUGGCAACCCAGCACAGCUGGUACAAUCUCCUGCAGCUGCUCACCUCCCCAGAGGCACCAGAGCUGUUAUUUGCUGGCUGGCCAAUCUUAGGAACGUCUUUUCUCCGACCUCGCUCCUGUACCUCUUGGAGAGGUUAGCCAAAGGUGGAGCCCUGCCUAUCUGCUUCGUGUUUGCUCUUUAGCGGUUAUUUCAAGGUCAGCCUAACUCACUGGCAGCCAAGCCCCAGGUUACCCAUCAGCUUGGCAUGUGCUCCUGGAGCCCUGAUUCAAGCACAGUGCUUACUUUGCUCUCCCUUGCUGCACUUCCCAAGGUAUAGAUCCGACGAUGCCAGUGUUUGGAGCCUCCCUGCAAUGCCUUACUCACAACUCACACAAAAGACGGGUGACCCUCCUUGAGAGCGCUUGGCUAAUGCCAAGCAAUUCAAAUCUUGACAGCAUGUGGUGAGAAGGCUCAGCGCCCACCUGGGCCACUAGCUGCCUUGGGAGAACAGGUGUUAUCGAGUCCAUACGGAGGUGGAGCCUCCUGAUACAGCCUUUUCGGGACGUUUGAUGCCUCCAGCAGUAAGAAUGCAGAUGGCUUCUCCCUUUGGCAGCAGUGACAAGAUUGCUUUUGUGUUUGGGUUUGUCCAGACAAGGCUGGAACGCUCAGUCGGGCUUCUCAUUCAACAGUGUGUGUUUCUCUCCUUGGAGGGAAGGAGUCAGGGAGGUAAGUCUGGUUCCUGCUCUGCCACCAGCUUACGUUGGGAGCGCACACAAAGCACAUGACCUCUCUGGGUCUUGGCUGCCUCCUCUAAAUAAAUGGAGGAGAAACCUGCUUUAUGAUUUCUAAGUCUCCUGUGAGUGCCAAGGUUUUAUGAUUCUCUUGAACUCCAGGGAUGCCAUUCCUACCACCUCCCCAUACAC